UACGGGGGGGGCUAGCGUUGUUCGGAAUUACUGGGCGUAAAGCGCACGUAGGCGGCUUUGUAAGUUAGAGGUGAAAGCCCGGGGCUCAACUCCGGAACUGCCUUUAAGACUGCAUCGCUAGAAUUGUGGAGAGGUGAGUGGAAUUCCGAGUGUAGAGGUGAAAUUCGUAGAUAUUCGCAGGAACACCAGUGGCGAAGGCGGCUUACUGGUCCAUUACUGACGCUGAGGUGCGAAAGCGUGGGGAGCAAACAGG
rnacentral:rRNA from 1 species